UACGGAGGAUCCAAGCGUUAUCCGGAUUUAUUGGGUUUAAAGGGUGCGUAGGCGGCCUAUUAAGUCAGGGGGUGAAAGACGGUAGCUUAAACUAUCGCAGUGCCUUUGAUACUGAUGGGCUUGAAUGUACUUGAGGUAGGCGGAAUGUGACAAGUAGCGGUGAAAUGCAUAGAUAUGUCACAGAAACACCAAUUGCGAAGGCAGCUUACUAAAGUAUGAUUGACGCUGAGGCACGAAAGCGUGGGG
rnacentral:rRNA from 1 species